UACGUAGGUGGCGAGCGUUAUCCGGAAUUACUGGGCGUAAAGGGCGCGUAGGCGGCCGCCUAAGUCAGACGUGAAAGCCCCGGGCUCAACCUGGGAACCGCGCUUGAGACUGGCACGCUCGAGUUCGGGAGAGGAUGGUGGAAUUCCCAGUGUAGAGGUGAAAUUCGUAGAUAUUAGGAAGAACACCGGUGGCGAAGGCGGCCCACUGGUCCGGUACUGACGCUGAGGUGCGAAAGCGUGGGGAGCAAACAGG
rnacentral:rRNA from 1 species